AAGAACCCAUUGUUAACUGGCCUCUUCGGCGUCCGCUUUGUAAUCUCAAGAAGUGUUUUCCGCUUCGGACCAUGCCUAAGUCCCUUGGAAAAGGGCAUCAUAGAGGGUGAUAAUCCCGUACAUGGCAUGGAGCGCCCGAAGCUUUGUGAUACGCUUUCUAAGAGUCGAGUUGUUUGGGAAUGCAGCUCAAAAUGGGUGGUAAAUGCCAUCUAAGGCUAAAUAUUGGGGAGAGACCGAUAGCGAACAAGUACAGUGAUGGAAAGAUGAAAAGAACUUUGAAAAGAGAGUUAAACAGUACGUGAAAUUGCCAAAAGGGAAGGGUAGGAGGUCAGAGAUGCGGCCUGGGAUUCAGCCUUGCUUUUGCUUGGUGUUUUUCCCAGAUUGCAGGCCAACGUCGGUUUUGGGCACUGGAGAAGGGUAGGAGGAACGUGGCACCUCUCGGGGUGUGUUAUAGCCUCCUACUGGAUACAGCGACCGAGACCGAGGACAGCAGCGUACUCGCAAGAGCGGGCCUUCGGGCACCUUUACGCUUAGGGCGUUGGCAUAAUGGCCCUCUACCACCCGUCUUG
rnacentral:rRNA from 1 species